rnacentral:rRNA from 1 species
CCUACGGGUGGCAGCAGUGGGGGAUAUUGCACAAUGGGGGGAACCCUGAUGCAGCGACGCCGCGUGGGUGAAGGCGUGCUUCGGCAUGUAAAGCCCUAUCGGCAGGGACGAAGCAAGACGGUACCUGACUAAGAAGCCCCGGCUAACUACGUGCCAGCAGCCGCGGCAAUACGUAGGGGGCAAGCGUUAUCCGGAUGUACUGGGUGUAAAGGGAGCGUAGAUGGCGUGCCAAGUCUGAUGUGAAGGGCCGGGGCUCAACCCCGGGACUGCAUAUGAAACUGGCAUGCUGGAGUGCCGGAGGGGGAAGCGGAAUGCCAAGUGUAGCGGUGAAAUGCGUAGAUAUGAGGAGGAACACCGGUGGCGAAGGCGGCGUGCUGGACGGUAACUGACGUUGAGGCUCGAAAGCGUGGGGAGCAAACAGGAUUAGAUACCCCGGUAGUC